rnacentral:rRNA from 1 species
CCUACGGGAGGCAACAGUGGGGAAUAUUGGACAAUGGGGGGAACCCUGAUCCAGCCAUGCCGCGUGUGUGAAGAAGGCCCUCGGGUUGUAAAGCACUUUCAGUGAGGAAGAACGCCUGGUGGUUAAUACCCAUCAGGAAAGACAUCACUCACAGAAGAAGCACCGGCUAACUCCGUGCCAGCAGCCGCGGUAAUACGGAGGGUGCGAGCGUUAAUCGGAAUUACUGGGCGUAAAGCGCGCGUAGGUGGCUUGAUAAGCCGGUUGUGAAAGCCCCGGGCUCAACCUGGGAACGGCAUCCGGAACUGUCAAGCUAGAGUGCAGGAGAGGAAGGUAGAAUUCCCGGUGUAGCGGUGAAAUGCGUAGAGAUCGGGAGGAAUACCAGUGGCGAAGGCGGCCUUCUGGACUGACACUGACACUGAGGUGCGAAAGCGUGGGUAGCAAACAGGAUUAGAUACCCCAGUAGUC